GCUAUGGAGCUCUAUUGUGGGACUACGCCACAAAGAAGCUAACAGAUGGUUCAAUCAGUGAGAGUGAGGUUACUGGCAGGCUUGCAAGGAGGAAGGGUUCACCGGCAAAGAAUGAGAGGACUAAAGUUCAACGAAAUAAGAAGUAGACUAUGCUGUUCAUAUUUGGUAGUUGGAUUGGAAAACAAUGUAAUUAUUAGGUCAUUUUGGUUGUAAUGAACAAUUUUUCAUGAAUACAUUAUACACGAGUAUUCGAGCUAUCU
rnacentral:lncRNA from 1 species